GUAAGGUCAGCUAACAAAGCUAUCGGGCCC
rnacentral:tRNA from 1 species